GUGAGGCUAACCAAAGGGCCGGCUAGGCUCAGCCCCCACAGAUGGGCUCCUGGUCAAGGAAUUACAAAUAAAAGGACAUUUCACUCCUUAUUAAUUCCAUGGUAGUCAGCCUCGGGGGUCCACACCCAUACCCCACUCUGCCAACAGGCGGCGCUCUGGGAGGCGGAAGGUAUCCCAUGGGCUCAGGUGGCUUUGAGGUCGCAGCUCGAGGGUAUGGCGAGACCUGGGUGGCAAGGCGCAGACUUCGGCGCUCGGCUUCCUGAGUGCAAAUCCUAGCUUCGCAGCUGCAUGGUCACUCGGUGCCUGCAGCUUCUAAAUGGGCUAGAUCCACUGACUUAAAUACUACCACAUCCGCAAAAGACCUCACCAGCAACAUCCAGACUAGUGUCUGCCCAAACCACUAGGCAGUGCAGCCGAGGGAGUGACACAUCAGGGUGACCGCGACGCUGUGUGGGCAGUUCAGGCGCACUCCCGUUCAGGGCAGGUGCCCUCAGCCACCUGGCUGUGCAGACGGAGGACGUGAAUGGACGGGAGGUGAGGAGGCGGACCGGUGAAUAUGACAGUUGAAUGUAUUUAUUUUAUUUUUGUCUUUUUGAGAGACAGGGUCUCACUAUGCAAAGGACUAAGC